UCUCCCGUGAGGGAGCAGUCUCGCCUGACAUAGAAAACAGGCAACGGGGGUUGCGUUCGUUACCCCACUGAAGGGAACAACUCAAGCCACGAACUGACGACGACCAUGCAUCACCUGCGUAUCAGUCUUGCGAGGGCCAAAGUUUCCUAAGGCUUUCAGAUACGUUUCAAACCCUGGUGAGGUUCUUCGUUUGUCAUCGAAUUGAGCCGCAUGAUCCACCGCUUGUGCAAGUCCCCGUCUAUUCCUUUGAGUUUUAAUCUUGCGAUCGUACUACCCAGGCGCAUAACUUAACGCGUUAGCUUCGUCUCGAAGAGGGUCGAUACUCCUCAAAACCAGUUAUGAUCGUUUAGGGCGUGGACUAC
rnacentral:misc_RNA from 1 species